rnacentral:rRNA from 1 species
CCCUUAGAUGUUCUGGGCUGCACGCGCGCUACACUGACAUGUCCAGCGAGCUCCCAACCUGCUCGGCAAAGAAUGGGUACCCUUUUUAACGCAUGUCGUGAUGGGGAUAGAUUAUUGCAAUUGUUGAUCUUGAACGAGGAAUUCCUAGUAAGUGCAAGUCAUUAGCUUGUGCUGAAUACGUCCCUGCCCUUUGUACACACCGCCCGUCGCUCCUACCGAUUGAAUGUGCCAGUGAAAAGUUCGGAUUGGAGAUAGGAAACGGCAACGUAUCCUAUUUCCGAGAAAAUCUUUAAACUUUCCCAUUUAGAGGAAGGAGAAGCCGUAACA